GACGAACGCUGGCGGCGUGCUUAACACAUGCAAGUCGAACGGAAAGGCACUGCUAUUGUGGGGUGCUCGAGUGGCGAACGGGUGAGGAACACGUGAGUAACCUGCCCUUGACUUUGGGAUAACUUCAGGAAACUGGGGCUAAUAUCGGAUAGGAGCUCCUGCUGCAUGGUGGGGGUUGGAAAGUUUCGGCGGUUGGGGAUGGACUCGCGGCUUAUGAGCUUGUUGGUGGGGUAGUGGCUUACCAAGGCUGUGACGGGUAGCCGGCCUGAGAGGGUGACCGGCCACAUUGGGACUGAGAUACGGCCCAGACUCCUACGGGAGGCAGCAGUGGGGAAUAUUGCACAGUGGGCGGAAGCCUGAUGCAGCAACGCCGCGUGCGGGAUGACGGCCUUCGGGUUGUAAACCGCUUUCGCCUGUGACGAAGCGUGAGUGACGGUAAUGGGUAAAGAAGCACCGGCUAACUACGUG
rnacentral:rRNA from 1 species